UCCAGUUAUGAGACCACCAAUUCACGGCCUGCGCUUGCCUCUCGCUGAGAAGCUGAGAAGCAGUGAACCUCCAUCACUCUGCAGUAAUCUCAGAUUAUUCAAGGUACUCCAGGCACAUUUAGCAUGGGGAUGGAGAGAGACUCUGCGGUGCUUUGAUAAACAAUGAACUUAAAAGGAAAGAAAGGUGAAAAACCAUUCAAAGAAACGAGGGUGCCGUCAGGUGGAGAAGAGCUGAAGUAUGGCCAGCGAGGGGGAGCACGACAGAGCCGUCAGGUGUAGUUUUAACCCUUGAACCAUCAAAAGAAACAGAGAGGAAGGAGGGAGGAAGGGCAGGAAGGAAGAAAGAGAAAGAAACCGGGCCAUG